UGGGGAAUAUUGGACAAUGGGCGCAAGCCUGAUCCAGCCAUGCCGCGUGAGUGAUGAAGGCCCUAGGGUUGUAAGGCUCUUUCGGCGGGGAAGACAAUGACGGUACCCGCAGAAGAAGCCCCGGCAAACUUCGUGCCAGCAGCCGCGGUAAUACGAAGGGGGCUAGCGUUGCUCGGAAUUACUGGGCGUAAAGCGCACGUAGGCGGAUUGCUAAGUCGGGGGUGAAAUCCCGGAGCUCAACUCCGGAACUGCCUUCGAUACUGGCGAUCUCGAGUCCGGGAGAGGUGAGUGGAACUCCGAGUGUAGAGGUGAAAUUCGUAGAUAUUCGGAAGAACACCAGUGGCGAAGGCGGCUCACUGGCCCGGUACUGACGCUGAGGUGCGAAAGCGUGGGGAGCAAACAGGAUUAGAAACCCGGGUAG
rnacentral:rRNA from 1 species